rnacentral:rRNA from 1 species
GACGAACGCUGGCGGCGUGCCUAAUACAUGCAAGUUGAGCGCUGAAGGUUGGUACUUGUACCAACUGGAUGAGCAGCGAACGGGUGAGUAACGCGUGGGGAAUCUGCCUUUGAGCGGGGGACAACAUUUGGAAACGAAUGCUAAUACCGCAUAAAAACUUUAAACACAAGUUUUAAGUUUGAAAGAUGCAAUUGCAUCACUCAAAGAUGAUCCCGCGUUGUAUUUGCUAGUUGGUGAGGUAAAGGCUCACCAAGGCGAUGAUACAUAGCCGACCUGAGAGGGUGAUCGGCCACAUUGGGACUGAGACACGGCCCAAACUCCUACGGGAGGCAGCAGUAGGGAAUCUUCGGCAAUGGACGAAAGUCUGACCGAGCAACGCCGCGUGAGUGAAGAAGGUUUUCGGAUCGUAAAACUCUGUUGGUAGAGAAGAACGUUGGUGAGAGUGGAAAGCUCAUCAAGUGACGGUAACUACCCAGAAAGGGACGGCUAACUACGUG